GACGAACGCUGGCGGCGUGCCUAAUACAUGCAAGUAGGACGCAGUUGCGAACGGGUGAGUAACGCGUAGGUAACUACCUAUUAGAGGGGGAUAACUAUUGGAAACGAUAGCUAAUACCGCAUACUAGUAGAUGGACCUGAGUGGGAUUAGCUAGUAGGUAGGGUAAUGGCCUACCUAGGCAACGAUACAUAGCCGACCGGAGAGGGUGAGCGGCCACAGUGGGACGCAGACACGGCCCAUACGCCUACGUGAGGCAGAAGUAGGCAAUCUUCGGCAAUGGGGGGAACCGUGACCGAGCAACGCCGCGUGAGUGAAGAAGGUUUUCGGAUCGUAAAGCUCUGGUGUUAAGGAAGCGGUACUUAACCAGAAAGGGACGGCUAACUACGUGCCAGCAGCCGCGGUAAUAC
rnacentral:rRNA from 1 species